rnacentral:rRNA from 1 species
AGUGAACGCUGGCGGUAGGCCUAACACAUGCAAGUCGAACGGCAGCACAGUAAGAGCUUGCUCUGACGGGUGGCGAGUGGCGGACGGGUGAGGAAUAUAUCGGAAUCUACUUUUUCGUGUGGGUUAACGUAGGGAAACUUACGCUAAUAUCGCAUACGACCUACGGGUGAAAGCAGGGGAUCUUCGGACCUGGCGCGGUUGAAUGAGCCGAUGUCGGGUUAGCUAGUUGGCGGGGUCACGGCCCACCAAGGCGCCGAUCCGUAGCUGGUCUGGGAGGAGGAUCCGCCACACAGAAACUGAGCCGCGGCACUGGCUCCUACGGAAGGCAGCAGUGGCGACUGUUGGCCACAGUGCGCAAGACUGCUCCAGCCAUACCGCGUGGGUGCAGCAGGCCUUCGUGUUGUAAAGCCCUUUUGUUGGGAAAGACCAGCAUCAGCUUAAUCCCCCGCUGUUCUGACGGUACCGAAAGAAUAAGCACCGCCUACCUUCGU